rnacentral:pre_miRNA from 1 species
AUACAAAUCACUUGGGGAUCUUGUUAAACUGCAGAUUCUGAUUCAGAGGGUCCAAGGCAAGAACAGAGAUUCUACAUUUCUGACAAGCUCCCAGAUGACGCCCAU